rnacentral:tRNA from 1 species
UCCUCGGUAGUCCUGUGGUUAGGACUCUACGCUUCCACUGCAGAGGGCAUGGGUUCAAUCUCUGUUUGGAGAA